CUUGCCUUUUGCCAAUGUACGGGUGGAUCCCAGUUCUGGCAGUCCGUGAUCCAGCUUCUGCCCGUACUACGCAUUGGCACAUCCAUCUCGGUUGGCUCUGGGGCCUCAACCUUGUUCUGGUUCGACCGCUGGCUAGGGGACUCCCCCCUGGCUGCGCGAUUUCCAGAAUUAUUUUCCAUUGCGGCUGACCCUCGGGUCUCUAUCGAGACGACCCUUAUUGACUUAGGGCGUCUCGCCUUCCGGCGCCCCUUUGGCCCCCUCGAGGUGGCCGCCUGGGACUCCCUCCUCCAAGACAUCGCACUUAUGCCGAUGAACGUCGAGGAGGACCGGGAUGUUCUUUCAUGGCGCCUCAAGCCCUCUGGCCGUUUCUCCACGCAGUCCCUGUACGGUGUCAUUGCUCCCUCGAUGGCUCCGGAACCAUUUAGCCUGAUCUAGGAUAUCCGACUUCCGUUGAAAAUCAGGAUCUUUCUGUGGCAAUGGAUCCGUGGACGCCUCCCCUCUGGGGUUGAAGUCCUCAAGCGUAAUGGCCCGAGUGAUGGGAUGUGCCCCAUCUGUGGCACGAUUGAGGAUGCUAACCACAUCUUUUUCUCGUGCCACUCUGCCCAGUUCCUUUGGGCCUGCUUCUGCGAAACGGUUGGCGGAUAG
rnacentral:rRNA from 1 species